CCUACGGGAGGCUGCAGUGGGGAAUAUUGGACAAUGGGCGAAAGCCUGAUCCAGCCAUGCCGCGUGUGUGAAGAAGGCCUUCGGGUUGUAAAGCACUUUCAGUGGGGAAGAAAGCCUUGGGGCUAAUACCCUCGAGGAAGGACAUCACCCACAGAAGAAGCACCGGCUAACUCCGUGCCAGCAGCCGCGGUAAUACGGAGGGUGCGAGCGUUAAUCGGAAUUACUGGGCGUAAAGCGCGCGUAGGCGGUCUGAUAAGCCGGUUGUGAAAGCCCCGGGCUCAACCUGGGAACGGCAUCCGGAACUGUCAGGAUAGAGUGCAGGAGAGGAAGGUAGAAUUCCCGGUGUAGCGGUGAAAUGCGUAGAGAUCGGGAGGAAUACCAGUGGCGAAGGCGGCCUUCUGGACUGACACUGACGCUGAGGUGCGAAAGCGUGGGUAGCAAACAGGAUUAGAUACCCCAGUAGUC
rnacentral:rRNA from 1 species